GGAGAGGCUGGCUCAGUGGUAGAGCAUCUGGUUUACAUGCAGAAGGUCCCAGGUUCAAUCCCUGGCAUCUCCA